rnacentral:rRNA from 1 species
UUGCACGCUGGCGGCAUGCUUUACCCCUGCAAGUCGCACGGUAACAGGCCUUCGGGUGCUGACGAGUGGCGAACGGGUGAGUAAUGCAUCGGAACGUGCCCAGAGGUGGGGGAUAACGCAGCGAAAGCUGUGCUAAUACCGCAUGUGAUCUGAGGAUGAAAGCGGGGGACCAGGCAGCAAUGUUUGGCCUCGCGCCUUUGGAGCGGCCGAUGUCAGAUUAGGUAGUUGGUGGGGUAAAGGCCUACCAAGCCGACGAUCUGUAGCUGGUCUGAGAGGACGACCAGCCACACUGGGACUGAGACACGGCCCAGACUCCUACGGGAGGCAGCAGUGGGGAAUUUUGGACAAUGGGCGCAAGCCUGAUCCAGCAAUGCCGCGUGCGGGAAGAAGGCCUUCGGGUUGUAAACCGCUUUUGUACGGAACGAAAAGGCUCUGGCUAAUACCUGGGGCUGAUGACGGUACCGUAAGAAUAAGCACCGGCUAACUACGUG